UUUGUUACAUCCGGUUUCAUAUCAACAUUUCAGCGACACGUUUUUUACGCUGAUUCUUGUAGUUUAUUGCAGUUAAAUAAGUUGAAAGUGACUGAACUUCAACGUUUAUAUGUGAGACGCCCCGUGCAUGCUACGACAGUCGUCAGAAUGCUUCGGAACUACUCUUUACGACUGUGUCGAAUUUCACCCGUUUGUCCUCUGGCUCGGGUCUCUGGAGCUGUGUCAGGUAAACAACUAGGAAGUCACAGAUGUUUCCACCCACAAACACCAUGUCGUGCCAAAGUAUUGACAGUAGACAACAUGAACCCUCAUCUGAAGGCUAUGGAAUAUGCUGUACGCGGUCCGAUUGUCAUUAUGGCUGGCAAAAUAGAAGAGGAACUGAUUGCUGGUGUGAAGAAGCCUUUCCCAAAUGUGAUCAGAGCCAAUAUUGGGGAUUGUCAUGCCACAGGACAACCACCCAUUACAUUCCUCAGACAGGUGGUGGCUUUAUGUACAGAUCCAGCUAUGCUGAUGACAGACCCACGAUAUCCAUCAGACGCCAAGGAACGUGCUCAGCGAGUCCUCGACAGCUGUGGUGGUAGCAGUAUAGGUGCCUACAGUGACAGUUCUGGUGUUCUGGCAGUGCGUGAGGACAUUGCUAACUACAUUCAGGAGCGAGACGGUAUCCCAGCCUCCUCUAAUGAUAUAUUCCUGUGUACAGGUGCUAGUGAUGGUAUUAAGACCAUAAUGAAGAUGUUGAUGACUGGAGAAUCUGGGCGUGGUCAAGCGGGGGUGAUGAUUCCCAUCCCCCAGUACCCUCUAUACACAGCCACUAUAGCAGAGUACAAUGCAUAUCCUAUAAAAUAUUACAUGGAUGAGGACAAGAACUGGGCCCUAGAUAUAAACGAGCUGAAGAGAUCAAUUGAUGAAGCGAGACCAAACUGUAAACCUAGAGCCAUUGUUAUCAUCAACCCUGGUAACCCUACAGGUUCAGUUUUAUCCAGACAAAAUAUAGAAGAUGUGAUAAAGUUUGCCAAGGAUGAAGGACUUUUUAUUUUAGCUGAUGAGGUGUAUCAACACAACGUGUAUGCAGAGGGAGCAGCCUUCCACUCGUUUAAGAAGGUAAUGACAGAGUUGGGAGGAGAAUACAAGGACAUGGAGCUUGCAUCCUUCAUGUCAGUUUCCAAGGGAUACAUGGGAGAAUGUGGAUUUAGAGGAGGUUACUGUGAGGUCAUUAACCUUGACCCCGAGGUUAAAGUUCAACAACUGAAAUCAAUUUCAGCAAAAUUGUGUUCUUCUGUUGCUGGUCAGGCGGCCAUGGAUGUUGUAGUAAACCCGCCACGCCCAGGAGAGCCUUCAUACGACCUGUUCAUGAAGGAGAAAAACAAGGUUCUGAAUGAUCUGAAAGUGAAAGCCAACAUGGUGACAGAGACAUUUAAUAGCAUGGAGAGGUUUUCAUGUAACGAAGUGAAGGGAGCCAUGUAUGCAUUCCCACAAAUACAUAUGCCAGAGUCAGCUCUACAUGCUGCUAAGGCCAUGGGGAAGCCUGCUGAUGUGAUGUACUGUGAGGAUUUGCUACAACAGACUGGGAUAUGUGUGGUUCCUGGAUCUGGAUUCGGACAGAGACCUGGCACAUAUCAUUUCAGGACCACGAUUCUUCCUACUGUUGAACAACUUGCGGAUAUGCUGGAACGGUUCAAGGUCUUUCACAAAGGAUUUCUACAAAACUAUAAGUAAAGGAUUUCUACAAAACUAUAAGUAAAGGAUUUCUACAAAAAUGUAGGUGAAGGAUUUCUACAAAACUAUAAGUAAAGGAUUUCAACAAAAGUAUAAGUAAAGGAUUUCUACAGAAAUUUAGGUGAAGGAUUUUUACAGAAGUAUAAGUAAAGGAUUUCUACAAAAGUAUAAGUAUAAUGUGUAUCGAAAUCUGUGUAUAUUGUUUUUAAAUAUAUUUUUAUUUCAAAAUGUAAACACUCGAUUAAGCAAUAUAUGCAUGUACCAAAUACAUCAAUUAUUAUUUCUUUCAUAUAAACUUAACCGAAAAAAUAUUAAUUUUAAUUACAGUGCGUUUCGAUUUAUACAGAAGCUGAAAUGCUGUCAUUUAUUCGAUUUAGGAUGUAAACACGACAUUUUCCCGACAUUCAAAGAGUAUUUACCCAUGUGCUCGAGAUAAGACAUCAGUAUAUUCCUUUUUUGCGAUGUUCAUCGAAAGUGUUUUAUUUUCAAAAAAAGAUGCAAGGAACUCUCCUAAUGGAUCAACAUAUCAGGUCAUCUGUAAACAAUUAUACAUGUCGGGAAAUAUUUAUACAUGUCGGGAAAUAUUUAUACAUGUCGGGAAAUAUUUAUACAUGUCGGGAACUGUUGUAGUUUACAUGACAAGUAAUGCUGUAACACAUGACAAUGUUUAUAUCCUAUGUUACAAUUUGUUCCUUUUUUUCUCUUGGUUCAUAUUUUUGACUGUUUGCGAAAACAAAUUAUGAACUUCUCAACAUUGUAAUCAUAAAUAGUGUGUGAAAAACUGGUUUAACUUCAGAAUACUGUAGAAGUACUGUAAAUGACGUAUUGUGUAUUACUGUAGAGGUACUGUAAAUGACGUAUUGUGUAUUACUGUAGAAGUACUGUAAAUGACGUAUUGUGUAUUACUGUAGAGGUACUGUAAAUGACGUAUUGUGUAUUACUGUAGAAGUACUGUAAAUGACGUAUUGUGUAUUACUGUAGAAGUACUGUAAAUGACUUAUU
rnacentral:misc_RNA from 1 species